rnacentral:rRNA from 1 species
UGCAUCGAUGAAGAACGCAGCCAGUUGCGAUAAGUAGUGUGAAUUGCAGAAUUCAGUGAAUCAUGGAAUCUUUGAACGCAAAUUGCGCUUUCCGGAUAUCCGGGGAGCAUGCCUGUCUGAGCGUCGUUUAAUAAUCUACACACCUCGGUGUGGGUAGGGAGUUCAUGUGACCUGUUUCAGGACACCUGUCUCUCGAUGUGUCUGAACCUUGCUCGUACUUGCUUAUGUACUUGCUUGGAAGGCUCAACUUGGUUCUGUCCUUCUAAAGCUUCGUACUUGCUUGUUAAGCUUGUGUUCUCUGAGAGCUUUCACGAGUUCUCGCUCACAAUUUUGACCUCAGAUCAGACAAGACUACCCGCUGAAUUUAAGCAUAUCAAUAAGCGGAGGA